UAGAUAAAGAACUGAGGCCUCACCAGCAGAAGAAAGUUACUUGAGCAGAAGAAUCACAUGAUUUUUUAAACCGAUUAUGACAAAUCCAGACGAAUAUAAUAACACUACAUUUCCCGUGGCACAGCGCGGUUUUGUGACCUUGACCGACUUCUCUGUUCUCCAAUGAAAACGGCCCGCUGCCCUUUCUGGCCAAUCGCUCAUAUGGGAGGCGGGGCGGUUGGUGGUUGCUAAGGAGGGGUGAAAACCGGAAGAUGUCGCGCGUCCCUGGAAGCCGCUGCCAAAUUCCGUUGAUGUAGUAAGACAGCUCGCUGUCCGGUUGACAUUUAUUACCGUAAGAUGAAGAACGCAAACAUAACUGGAGGAGACCUCUGGACUGCGUGACCCCUUGGAGAAAAGACAAACAGGCGUUUGACAGAGCCACCAUGAGCGCUGCGACCCUCCGGAUUGGGGACCAGCUCAUCCUGGAGGAGGACUACGAUGAGAACUACAUCCCCACUGAGCAAGAGAUCCAGGAGUACGCACGAGAGAUCGGGAUAGACCCAGAGAAGGAGCCUGAGCUGAUGUGGCUGGCCAGAGAGGGCAUUGUGGCCCCACUGCCUGCAGAGUGGAAACCCUGGU